rnacentral:rRNA from 1 species
GACGAACGCUGGCGGCGUGCCUAAUACAUGCAAGUAGAACGCUGAAGAGAGGAGCUUGCUCUUCUUGGAUGAGUUGCGAACGGGUGAGUAACGCGUAGGUAACCUGCCUGGUAGCGGGGGUUACCUAUGGGAACCGUUAGCUAAUCCCGCUUAAAAUGGAUAUUCGCAUGAUAAUCAUUUGAAAGGUGCAAAUCCUUCACUACCAGAUGGCCCUGCGUUGUAUUAGCUAGUUGGUGGGGUAACGGCUCACCAAGGCGACGAUACAUAGCCGACCUGAGAGGGUGAUCGGCCACACUGGGACUGAGACACGGCCCAGACUCCUACGGGAGGCAGCAGUAGGGAAUCUUCGGCAAUGGACGGAAGUCUGACCGAGCAACGCCGCGGGAGUGAAGAAGGUUUUCGGAUCGUAAAGCUCUGUUGUAAGAGAAGAACGAGUGUGAGAGUGGAAAGUUCACACUGUGACGGUAUCUUACCAGAAAGGGACGGCUAACUACGUG